rnacentral:rRNA from 1 species
GACGUAGGGCGCGAGCGUUGUCCGGAUUUAUUGGGCGUAAAGAGCUCGUAGGCGGCUUGUCGCGUCGUCCGUGAAAACCCACAGCUCAACUGUGGGCUUGCGGUCGAUACGGGCAGGCUAGAGUUCGGUAGGGGAGACUGGAAUUCCUGGUGUAGCGGUGAAAUGCGCAGAUAUCAGGAGGAACACCGGUGGCGAAGGCGGGUCUCUGGGCCGAUACUGACGCUGAGGCACGAAAGCCAGGGGAGCGAACGGG